rnacentral:rRNA from 1 species
GAUGAACGCUGGCGGCGUGCCUAAUACAUGCAAGUCGAGCGAACGGACGAGAAGCUUGCUUCUCUGAUGUUAGCGGCGGACGGGUGAGUAACACGUGGAUAACCUACCUAUAAGACUGGGAUAACUUCGGGAAACCGUAGCUAAUACCGGAUAAUAUUUUGAACCGCAUGGUUCAAAAGUGAAAGACGGUCUUGCUGUCACUUAUAGAUGGAUCCGCGCUGCAUUAGCUAGUUGGUAAGGUAACGGCUUACCAAGGCAACGAUGCAUAGCCGACCUGAGAGGGUGAUCGGCCACCCUGGCACUGAGACACGGUCCCGACUCCUACGGGAGGCCGCAGUAGGGAAUCUUCCGCAAUGGGCGAAAGCCUGACGGAGCAACGCCGCGUGAGUGAUGAAGGUCUUCGGAUCGUAAAACUCUGUUAUUAGGGAAGAACAUAUGUGUAAGUAACUGUGCACAUCUUGACGGUACCUAAUCAGAAAGCCACGGCUAACUACGUG